rnacentral:rRNA from 1 species
AUUGAACGCUGGCGGCAUGCCUUACACAUGCAAGUCGAACGGCAGCGCGGGAGCAAUCCUGGUGGCGAGUGGCGAACGGGUGAGUAAUAUAUCGGAACGUGCCCAGUCGUGGGGGAUAACGCAGCGAAAGCCGUGCUAAUACCGCAUACGAUCUAAGGAUGAAAGCGGGGGAUCGCAAGACCUCGCGCGAUUGGAGCGGCCGAUAUCAGAUUAGGUAGUUGGUGGGGUAAAGGCUCACCAAGCCGACGAUCUGUAGCUGGUCUGAGAGGACGACCAGCCACACUGGAACUGAGACACGGUCCAGACUCCUACGGGAGGCAGCAGUGGGGAAUUAUGGACAAUGGGCGCAAGCCUGAUCCAGCAAUGCCGCGUGCAGGAUGAAGGCCUUCGGGUUGUAAACUGCUUUUGUACGGAGCGAAAAGGCUCUCUCUAAUACAGGGGGCUCAUGACGGUACCGUAAGAAUAAGCACCGGCUAACUACGUGCCAGCCGCCGCGGUAAGAC